UACGUAGGUGGCAAGCGUUAUCCGGAUUUAUUGGGUUUAAAGGGUGCGCAGGCGGGAGAUUAAGUCGGCGGUGAAAUUUUGCAGCUCAACUGUAAAAGUGCCUUCGAAACUGGUUUCCUUGAGUGUAGAUGAAGUAGGCGGAAUUUGUGGUGUAGCGGUGAAAUGCAUAGAUAUCACGAGGAACUCCGAUUGAGCAGGCAGCUUACUAAACUACUACUGACGCUCAGGCACGAAGGCGUGGGGAUCAAACAGGAUUAGAUACCCUGGUA
rnacentral:rRNA from 1 species